rnacentral:tRNA from 1 species
GCGCCGGUAGCCCAACGGUAGGAGGCAACUGCCUUAGGAGCAGUUCAGUGCAGGUUCGAAUCCUGCUCGGCGCACCA